UGUGGAACUUAAAAAUCAACGACCACUGCGAAUCCUCAAUCAACCCCACUGGGGCCACUACCAUCGCAGAGCCUGGUCGAUAUUUUUCGGUUGGGGCGACCUUGGAGGAGAACAAAUCCUCCAAAAACAAGACCAUACCUCUUUACCUAGAGCUACCCCUCAAAGUGCUAACAGUGACCAGACCCAAUAUAAUUGAUUAAUGGACCAAGCUACCCCA
rnacentral:rRNA from 1 species